rnacentral:rRNA from 1 species
GAUGAACGCUGGCGGCGUGCCUAAUACAUGCAAGUCGAGCGAACGGACGAGAAGCUUGCUUUUCUGAUGUUAGCGGCGGACGGGUGAGUAACACGUGGAUAACCUACCCAUAAGACUGGGAUAACUUCGGGAAACCGGAGCUAAUACCGGAUAAUAUUUUGAACCGCAUGGUUCAAAAGUGAAAGACGGUCUUGCUGUCACUUAUAGAUGGAUCCGCGCUGCAUUAGCUAGUUGGUAAGGUAACGGCUUACCAAGGCAACGAUGCAUAGCCGACCUGAGAGGGUGAUCGGCCACACUGGAACUGAGACACGGUCCAGACUCCUACGGGAGGCAGCAGUAGGGAAUCUUCCGCAAUGGGCGAAAGCCUGACGGAGCAACGCCGCGUGAGUGGUGAAGGUCUUCGGAUCGUAAAACUCUGUUAUUAGGGAAGAACAUAUGUGUAAGUAACUGUGCACAUCUUGACGGUACCUAAUCAGAAAGCCACGGCUAACUACGUG